rnacentral:misc_RNA from 1 species
UAAGGAUUGCCAUAAAAAGUACAAGUAGGUUCUUUAUUUCUAGUCUAUAGUAUUAUAAAUGCUCUUUGGCCCUUUGGGUGACUACUUGUUUGUGUUUUCAAAAAGUCAAUUUUCAAAAAACCGUUAAAAUAAGUGUUGUUAAAUCAUAAUCCAGCGUUAUAUCUCAUUGCGAAUACAUUCGCGACAUAAAACUUUGUUAAUCUCAACAUGUUGAAAUUUGCCUGACUGUCGAGUUAUUGCGUCGGGUCUGAGUUGUCGAGUUUUGUCAUCGCGCUAGUAUCGACGUCAUCAUGUUCCAAAAACCGACGUUUGGCAGUAACGCUACGUCUGGCUUCGGCUCCUUCAAUUCUGCCGCCACGACGUCUUCGCCAUUCGGAUUCAAACCUACAAACACCACGUUUGGAGCAGCGGCUGCCACCCAACCAACAACUGGGGGUGGUCUAUUCUCGUCCAACACUCCGGGAGGUCUCUUCGGCGCCGCCGGGCCGUCCACCUCCACGUCGACGUUCGGGGCCAACACCAGCGCGUUUGGGUUCGGCGCUAGCACGUCGUCUGGCGGUCUCUUCGCGAAUAACACGUCCACCGGCCUGUUUGGGAAUGCGCAGAACACGUCCGCCUUCGGGGCUAAGCCUACUGGCUUCGGUUUCAGCAACACGUCGACUACCGGCGCGACUGGUGGAGGCCUCUUCGGCUCCACGCCGGCGGCCGGCGGCGGACUCUUCGGCCAGCAGCAGAACACCAUGUCCGGAGGCGGGCUUUUUGGUUCGGCCACCACAGGUGCAUUCGGCCAGCAACAGCAGACUGGCACGGCGCAUGUGAAGUACAACCCGGUGGUAGGCACCGACGUCGUUGUGAAGAGCGGUAACUCGCAAAACAUCAACAUCAAGCACCAUUGUAUCACUUGCAUGAAGGAAUAUGAGAACAAAUCCCUGGAAGAGUUGCGGUUGGAGGACUACGCGGCGGGACGCAAGGGCUCCACGACGGGCAUGUUCGGUGGUUUCCAGCAACCCGUCGAGAACAAACCGCUGUUUGGUGCCACAGGUUUCGGCCAGCCGGCGACCACGAGCGCGCCCAGCAUGUUCGGUGGCGGCGGGCUGGGGACCAACACCGCUUUCGGACAAAACACAGGCACGUUCUCCUUCAACAGUGGAACCCAGAAUGCAACCAACACGAACACUUUGUUCGGAGCGAGUAAGCCCGCGUUUGGAGCAGCAUCUACCACAGGUACGGGUUUGUUCGGCGCUGCGUCCACUCAGGCGCCCACAUUCGGCACAAACACCUCGACAUUCGGUUUCGGAGCAAACACACAGACACAGGGCGGUGGUAUCUUCGGAGCUAAGCCCCCCACGUCCGGGUUCGGCGCGACGCCGGCGAGUUCCGGGUUCGGCGCGUUCAACACGGGCGGGGCCAUGUUCGGCGCCAAGACCAGCGCGCCCACCUUCGGCACCAGCGGACCCGCAUUCGGCACGCUGUCGAGCGGUUUCGCGACAAACACGUCGACCAGCAGCGGUCUGUUCAACACCAACGCGUUUGGCAAACCGGCCACCACACAACCGACGUUUGGCUUCAACACACAACCAUCUGUGCUCGGCGGCGGGCUGGGCGCGGGGUUCGGCGCGAACACGUUCCAAGCGAAGCCCGCGGGAACUUUCGGCACACCAGCGGGCGGCAUGUUCCAGCAGCCCAACGCUAACAACACGUUCAAAACAGGUUUGGACAGCGGCCUCAGUACAGGCAUGUUCAACAACACGAGCACGCUGGGGAGUUCUGCAUUUGGGUUGGGAGGUCUGAAUGCCAACAACAGCGCUCUGGGCAAUCUGUCCGGCGCGGGCGCGGGCGCGGGCGGGCGCGGCGUGCACGAGCAGGUGCUGGCGCUGGCGGCGCGGCCCUACGGCGACCAGCCGCUCUACAAGGAUCUGCUGCCCGACCACGGCACCACGGCGGAGGAAGUGCUGAAGCCGACGAACCCAGCGGCGCUGAAGGCGGUUCUGGAGCGCGCUGACGGCGCCUACAAGGUCGCCUCUCCACACGCCAAGCUCAGGGUCCAGCCGCGACACUCGCUGCAGCAGGACAAGAAAUCAUUAUUCGACGGUCUCGAAGAGUCUGACGCGACGUUAGAAGACAAACUGUGCCUCAAGCCGAGCCGCAAACGUCUCGUGUUGCGCAACCACGCGAGCAACGAGCAACGCAGCGAACAACACAGCGAACAGCGCAGCGAACAGCACAGCGAACACGGCGAACAGCGCAGCGAACGCAACGACAGCAACACACGUGGAGACAGUCGGUUGAGUUCGCCAAAGCAGAUGAUCGAGAAAGAGAAACCAGUGGACUUAGAUAGUAAUAAUUUGGACAAAGAAUCGUCUAAUACCGAUACUUCGGAACGUCGAGCCAGCUGGUUGACAACCAAACCUCUUCGCAAGCCCCCAUUGGCGAGCGUUAACCCUGACGUGGUGGAGAACUCCGUGCGAGAGCUGGCCGUCAGACAAGAUAUAUCCACGGCCGAUAAGGAGAACAUAGACACGCUGUCAGUUUCUGAGGAAGAAAACGCGCCGACCAGCGAUGCGCCGCCGCAUCCCACAGGAGUGAAGCUCACGCGUCCUGGAUACUACACGAUACCGACGCUGGACGAGAUGAUUGGUUACAUGAGACCGGAUGGUUCGUGCGUGGUGCCGCACUUAACCAUCGGCCGUAAAAACUACGGCAACGUGUACUACAACUGCGAGAUAGAUGUCGCCGGCUUGGAUCUGGACGCUUUGGUGCACUUCCUGAACAAAGAGGUGAUCGUGUACCCCGAAGACGCUGACAAGCCGCCCGUCGGCCACGGCCUCAACCGCCGCGCCAUCGUCACCCUCGACAGAGUGUGGCCCAUGGACAAGACGGAGAAACGACCUAUCACAGACCCGGACAGACUGCUCAAAAUGGACUAUGAGGGUAAACUGCGUCGAGUUUGCGACAAACACGACACGAAGUUCAUCGAAUAUCGGCCUCAGACUGGCAGUUGGGUGUUCAAGGUGGAACACUUCAGCAAGUACGGUCUGACAGACUCAGACGAGGAAGAUGAGCACACGCCGGCGGUAAUGAAGCUGCAGCUGGUCAACCAGGCGCUGCAGACCAACGCCGCUCAAGCGCCGAAACCACCAGCGCCGGCGUCGGCAGGACUCGGCGGGCUCGGCUCACCAGGACUGGGCGGUCUGGCACAGCUGGGCGGAACCCUCGGGACCCUCGCGUCGUCAGAGGACAUGUUCGCCAUGCAGCAGACUUCGCUGAACCUGCUCAACGGGACCGGGAAAGCGUUCGACAUGGAUACAACCGAAGACAAUGGGGAAUCGGCCAGCCUCUACCAAGACAACUUGGCAUACGGCAUGAAGAGUCCGACGAGCGAGCUGGCGCGCCUCGAGAACCGACAGAGUCACCACGUGCAGCUCAUGAAGGCGUCGCUCUACAACCACGAAGAAAUGGAGGACAUGGAGUCCGUGUCUGGCGAGCAGUUGGUGCCCCUGCGGCGGUCCCUGUCGCCAGUGACGGGCGCGACCCCCUCGCUGGCGCCGUCGAUACGGCCCGCUGUGGAACGUGAGCAGGAUGUCAUCACUGACGAAGUUAAAAUGCCCCCGCUCAUAGUACAGCCGCACAGCAUAGUGCUGCGGUAUCAUAGAAAAGUGCCGCCGUUCAAGGAAACUAUUGCAGGUCGUGCGCAGGCGUCGCUGCUGGCCGACAUGUCGUUCUGUCGCGCGCGACACUCGCGCGUCGGCUUCGGCCCGGCGGGACAGCUCGUGUUCCCCACUUCAUACGACUCUAUCGCAGAACUGCCCAAAUGUGCGGAUCUGAGUUCGCUGUGCCGCUACGUGCGCGGGCGCGGGCCGUACGACUGGUCGGAGCCCGUCGCGGCGCGGCUGCAGCUCGCGCACCGAGACCAGGACUACAAUAUACAGAAUAUUCUAGAACCCUACCUAAACACACUGCUGGAGUAUUCGACGUUCUCGGAAGUGUCUGGCGAGCAGUGUCCGCGACUGACGCUCAAGCCGGACCCUCAGGCGAGACUGUCAACCCUCAAGGAGUUUCUCAAACACGCCUCCAAACAGAACCACAAAGUUAAGUUCGGCGUUUUGGGUGCGUAUUGCUAUGAAGUGUGGAAGCUAUGCGACGCGCUGUGGGCUGCGGAUCUUGAGAAUGACGGAGUGCCCGGCACCGACGACAUAUCGAUAGUGAAACGUCACAAGAAGCUUCUGGAAUGGUUCAGAUCGGCAGUCGCUGACGUCACAGACCGGGAGCUUGCUAAGCCUACGCGGGCUGAGAAGGAAGAUGAAACUGACGGUCACAGCGAGCGCGUGUGGACCCUGCUUCUCGGCGGCCGCGUGGUGGAGGCGUGUAAGGUGGCGCGCGACAACGGGGACCUCAACAUGGCCACGCUGAUCGCCAUGGCUUCAGGGGACCCUAAGUUCAGAUAUCUGAUAUCCCGUCAGCUGUCGGUGUGGCGCGAGUGCGGUGCGGAUGCGUUGAUCUCGUCGCACAAGCUCGCCACACUGCAGUUGAUUGCUGGCGUCGCGCCGCUAUCGCAUCUCGUGCCGCUCGACUGGACUAGAGCGCUGCACGCCACCGCCAGAUACAUAUGCCCGCACCUGCCCACGCUCGAGCAGAUCAUCAGGACCUACGAGGGUUACUUCAGCUCUGAUGAGGAGGUGGACCUCAGCGCCGUCGGUGACGAGUCCGGCAUGCAGCCGCCGCUGCCGCCGUACGCGAGCGAAUACGACGUGAUCAUCAACCAGAACGGCUCGCAGCGUCGCGUGCUGGACGCGCGCUACUCGCUGCUGCGCGCGCGCACACAACACGCGCCCGCGCAUGCGCCCCGCCGCCUACACGCCACGACCCGCUCGACUACAGUCUGUGUUUCCUGCUGGGAGUGUGGUUCGGCAACCCGUCGAUAGAGAGCAUCACCGGAGUGGCAGAUCAGUUGGAGGCGUGCGGCGCGUGGCACCUCGCCGUGUUGGCCCUCGCCUACCACCCCGAUGACAGAGCACGCGGUCAUCUCGUACGCGGCAUGAUAUCCCGCCAUGCGCCCGAAGUGGCGGACACAGCGCAGACCAAAGCGUGUCUAGAUCUGCUCAGGAAGCUGCGUGUGCCGGAGAAAUGGAUAUUACUUGCGCAGGCGCAUCGGGCUAAGUAUUUG